CCAUAUCGAACUCUCACUUACGUGGACGCCAUCGGAUCCCAGUACAAGACAUGGUGGCCCAUGCUAACUAGUUAUUUCUACGCGAAAAUUGUACGCGUAAAAUAUACGCGAUGUAGUAUUUUAGGGCGGGGGUCUUUAUGUUUAAUUUCCUUCCUCACUCUACUCGUUCUCUUCCUUUCAUUCGUCCCGGCGAUUCCUACUGCAACUCUCGCGAUCACCUUGUCACAAAGUCGCGAUUGCUUUGGGGAUCCAGCGGAAGCGAUGAGCAUCUUGUUCGCUGGGGAGCUUGAUCGGCAAAAACGGCCCAGCUCCUCCUCCUCCUCGUGGAAGCAUCUCCAGUGUCCGUCCUUCUCCAUCUCCCUCAGGGUGGCUGCCUCCCCGUGGCCGCUGUGCUGCUCCGCCUCCCCCCGCAGCCGCCCGUCGAUCCACCGCCUGGCG